rnacentral:rRNA from 1 species
GCAGUCGAACGAUGAAGCCGGGUGCUUGCACCUGGUGGAUUAGUGGCGAACGGGUGAGUAACACGUGAGUAACCUGCCCUUCACUCUGGAAUAAGCGCUGGAAACGGCGUCUAAUACCGGAUACGACCCUCGGAGGCAUCUUCUGAGAGUGGAAAGAUUUAUCGGUGAAGGAUGGACUCGCGGCCUAUCAGGUAGUUGGUGAGGUAAAGGCUCACCAAGCCGACGACGGGUAGCCGGCCUGAGAGGGUGACCGGCCACACUGGGACUGAGACACGGCCCAGACUCCUACGGGAGGCAGCAGUAGGGAAUAUUGCACAAUGGGCGCAAGCCUGAUGCAGCAACGCCGCGUGAGGGACGACGGCCUUCGGGUUGUAAACCUCUUUUAGUAGGGAAGAAGCGAGGUGUUUAUUCACUUCAUGACGGUACCUGCAGAAAAAGCACCGGCUAACUACGUGCCAGCAGCCGCGGUAAUACGUAGGGUGCAAGCGUUGUCCGGAAUUAUUGGGCGUAAAGAGCUCGUAGGCGGUUUGUCGCGUCUGCUGUGAAAACCCGAGGCUCAACCUCGGGCCUGCAGUGGGUACGGGCAGACUAGAGUGCGGUAGGGGAGAUUGGAAUUCCUGGUGUAGCGGUGGAAUGCGCAGAUAUCAGGAGGAACACCGAUGGCGAAGGCAGAUCUCUGGGCCGUAACUGACGCUGAGGAGCGAAAGCAUGGGGAGCGAACAGGAUUAGAUACCCUGGUAGUCCAUGCCGUAAACGUUGGGAACUAGAUGUAGGGUCCAUUCCACGGAUUCUGUGUCGCAGCUAACGCAUUAAGUUCCCCGCCUGGGGAGUACGGCCGCAAGGCUAAAACUCAAAGGAAUUGACGGGGGCCCGCACAAGCGGCGGAGCAUGCGGAUUAAUUCGAUGCAACGCGAAGAACCUUACCAAGGCUUGACAUAUACCGGAAAGCUGCAAAAAUGUAGCCCCCGCAAGGUCGGUAUACAGGUGGUGCAUGGUUGUCGUCACCUCCUGUCCUGAAAUGUUGGGUUAAGUCCCGCAACGAGCGCAACCCUCGUUCUUUGUUGCCAGCACGUAAUGGUGGGAACUCAAAGGAAACUGCCGGGGUCAA